rnacentral:rRNA from 1 species
UACGUAGGUGGCAAGCGUUGUCCGGAUUUACUGGGCGUAAAGAGCGCGCAGGCGGUCGUUCAAGUCGCGUGUGAAAGCCCCCGGCUCAACUGGGGAGGGUCACGCGAUACUGAUCGACUCGAAGGCAGGAGAGGGAAGUGGAAUUCCCGGUGUAGUGGUGAAAUGCGUAGAUAUUGGGAAGAACACCUGAGGCGAAGGCGGGAUGCUGGGCCGACACUGACGCUGAGGCGCGAAAGCGUGGGGAGCGAACAGG